UAAGCAGAGCCAAGGAUGAAUAUGAGAGGGUGAGACGGACUGGGAGGACCAAGAGGGGAGAAGGAGGCAGGUGGGGAGUAGGGGGAGGGGGCGUGGGGGCAUGUGCUGGGGAAGUCACCUCUAGGCCAACAGAGAUAAUUAGUCCAGAAAGAAUACAUGUCUUACAGUUUUUAGCCUAAAAGGGAAAGAAAUUUGCUUACGUCCAAGCCCUUGACUUGGUGUGAAAGUUUAGAAUGCUCUUUUUCUGUUCCCAUAAAAUUACUGAAAAUGGUUUCAGGGUGCAAAAGUUAGCCUGCAGCAGGUAGUUCUUCAAAAGCUUCUUGCCUGUUCUUCACCCCUGUGGCCUCUGCUAGGGCUUAGGAAUAUGUGUAGCCUGAUCAUUUGCACCUGCUAAUACAAAGGGUAUACUUAUGGUCUGCAGUUGGUGGUAGGUUCACAGCCUUCAUUAAGCAUUAUUUGGAAUUCUACCCACGUGUGAAGCUUUUCUAGAUUUUUUUUUCUGUAUAUUAGUUUAAAAGUGAAAGGAUGGCGUUUUCUCCCUGAAAUUGAAUAAAAUGGAAGUUGUAGUGCAUUUGUUAACUUAUUCACUACACACUUACGAACCGUCCACUAUGCAUCAAGCAGUGGGCAUUUCAUUAGUGGUCUUCAAACCGCGUGGCUUUGGAACUGCCCUGACUUAUCACUUGACAUGGGCCCCUGAGAGCUUCACGCUUCAUAGGAGGCAGACUGAAGGUUUCCACUGCUGCGCUUUGUUUCAGUGGAAUUGUAAUUGUCACCUUACUCUUUACUGAUAUGUGAUUAAGUACUUUUCUUUUGUUUUUUGUGUAAUCCUCACCUCACCAAAAGUUCCAGGGACAGGUGUGAAAAGCACUCUCUAUGGUGUGUUUCCCAAACCAUUCUGCUCUAACACUAGCCUCUACAUAGUUAACAGGUGACCCUUAGGAAAGGUUCCAGUUGGUCAAGUGAGUUAAGGAAAUGUUGUUAACAUGGCUCCUCCUCCCCCAUCCUCCUGGGGCUUUGGGCUUUGCAAUGCUCAAGACUCUGAGGGGCCCUACAAUAAGUACAGCAGCACCGAUUCCCAGGUUGAUCAACUAUGGGACCAUUUUUCUCAUAUUCCACUUCAGCAUCUCAAGAAUCUAGAGUUUAGGGAGCAGACUUUGAAACAGUGCUCUGGAAGGUAGUUUCCUCCAGCAAAGGAAAAGUCCUAUUCAAACACCAAAGGAAAUCUCACUUCUGAGGUAGAGAAGUGUACAUUAGAGCCCCUGAGAAGUUCAAGUUGCAUCAAAUUCCUCAGUGUCUCAUAGAGAAUUAAGAGGAAUUUAUGGAACUCUGAAAAUUAAUACAGGAAAAGCAGUCAUCUCUGUAGUGGAUGCAUGAACACUUAGGAUCCUAACUGGAUGAGAAUAAAUUCCGAGAAUAAUUUUCUGUUCUUUUAGGUCACCUUAUAUUCCCCCAAAUUCCCUCUCAUAUCCUUAAUGAGAUCUGGCUAUCUAUAUAGAUGCCUUGUUCUGUUUUUAUAGAGGCCUUUUUGUGUUCUGAGAACAGGUAGCUAAUAAAUCCAGGGCUCUGUCACGCAUUACUAGUGAUGACUAGAUCACGGUGCCACACGGGACAGAAAGCGUAGGUGCUGUGCACCAGAGCUGGUGCUCUGGGAGGUGGCCUGGCUUACUCCUCAGCCUAAGAAGCAAGUAGCCACAAAAUGAAAGAAGGAACAGAGCCUUGGUUUUGUCCACAAAGCUAUAAAGGAACUCUAGAUCAAGCAGGCAAUCUGAAAAUGUGACACAUUGCAAAAGGUAAGAAUGUGGAGAGCACGGUAAUUACCGCUGUAAAGAAAAUUCCCCCAUGCUAUGGAAUAAGUAAAAUGAUGUCUAUGGCUAGAUUAAAACUAAUAAACCUUUGGGAAUUUUGUAAAUCUUUGGUACUUCCUUUUUAUAAUGCAUUCUUUCUGGUUUUGAAAACUGUCUGUAAAUAGGUGGAGCUUCCUGAAAGAGUAGGUUUUUUUCGUGUCCACACUUGCCUGUCAUCCAACCAAAUGGGAGUUGGAAUUCGCAGUGACCUGUGAAUUCAUAGCCAAGUGUUUGCAUGGGCGCUCUCAGCUGCCACGCAGCUCCAGAUGGCCCUUUGUUUAUCUGUAGUAGAGACUUAGAUUGACAGUCUAGGGCAGAGGUGCAAGCCAUGCCUCAGUGAUGGCAUGUAACCCCAAUCCUAAAUCUCCCCCACCCACCGUGAAUGAAAUUCCACGCUUUGGGGUGAAGGAUUUAUAGUAAAGACUGUUGGGAAAUUAAAACUCUAUAGUAAACGUUUUCUCCUAAAGUCCUAUAGUUUGUUUUAACCAACUUACCUUUUUUAAAGGUAAGUAACAGGCCCCCAGGUGGCUCAGUCGGUUGAGCGUCCAACUUUGGCUCAGGUCACGAUCUCAUGGUUCAUGAGUUUGAGCCCCGCGUCAGGCUCACUGCUAUCAGCAUGGAGCCCACUUUAGAUCCUCUGUCCCCCUCUCUCUCUGCCCCUCCCCCUGUCAUACUCUCUCUCUAAACAAUAAACAAAACAUUAAAAAGUAAUAAUAAUAAAGGUAAGAAAGAUAGCUAAAGCCACAAUCCUUUACAGCGGCCCCUUACUGAGUUGCUUGUAGCCACAGGAUAUAAUCCUGGAUUUUGGUUGAGAGGUUGUUUCUAUUUCAUAUUUAAAGAUUAGAGUAAAAGAAAAAAACAUAAUCCCACCACCUAGAAAUAAUCACUGAUAAUACUUUGUAUCCUUCCAAAAAUAUGUGUAAAUGUGUCCCAGAGUGUGUGGUAUGCUUCUCUACACUAGUUUUAUUAUUAACUAGUUUUAAAAGUCGCUUUUAUUAACUCUUUUGUAACCAGUUUUUUUUUUUCAAAGAACAAUACCUUGAUGACAGUAGCUAUUUAUUCAUCUCACAGGGGAGUCCCUGUGAGAUUUCUUUCGGUAGAAUGAAAACUUUUUGAAAAAGAGAAGAGUGGUAUUAAUAGCUGCAUGUUUUUUCUCCCGUGUUUUACAUAAACAAUACGCUGUUCUUUUCUGAUUCUCUUAAGAACUCAGAAAUAUAUCCUGUGGCUAAGUCUUCGUGUUCAGCAUUUUCUGUUAAGAUAAACCAUUUGAAAUACAAUUGGUAGAUCGAAGGAUUUUGUCAUUUUUAAGGUUUUUACUAAAUAUUGUAAUAAAAUUACCCUCCAGAAAGUUUGAUUGUCCAUUUCCCCGAAUCUGUACAAAUAGCAAGUGUCAUCUACAAACUCAGAUUAAACCUUCCAAGAACAGCCCUGCACAUGUAUAAAAAAAAUGUCUGGGACCUUUUAAAGUACAGCCCAUCUUGUAGUUCAUGUUGAGUUAAGCAGAGGAGACUAAACUGCCCCCAAAACCACAUGGGCCAUGGAAGCACAUGUAGUGGGUGGGCCAGGGUAGCCCUGAUGCAAACAGAACCUGGCCCUGCAUCAGAGAGUCAUGUGCAGCUCAGCUCCAGCCAGUUGUUGCAAAGGUGUUCAGCUUCUCUCCAAAAAUAACAAGCUGGGAUUUUUAUGUGAAAACUCCCAAUUUUGAAAAUGUUUCUGAACAUUGUAUACCCUCUGCUCUUAGGAACUUGUUAUGAACAUUGUUUUGAGCUUUUCUGUGAUGCAGUUUAAUUCCAAGCAUUCUCCAUAAUGUGUUAGUACAUAUUGAUGGUGGUGUUGCACAAAGGGGUAGAAAAUAAGAUAUUUCAUAGGCAGUUGAAGGGGGUUAAGAAGUACAGACUUCCAGUUAUAAAAUGAGUAAGUGAUGGGGAUGAAAAAUACAGCACAGGGAAUGUAAUCAGUAAUGUUGUAAUAACUUUGCAUGGUGACCACACUUGCCUGGGUGAACCCUGUGUGAUAGGUAGAAUUGUCUAAUCACCAUGUUGUGCACCUGAAACCAAUAUAACAUUGUGUGUCAACUGUAUUUCAGUAAUAGAUGUUUUUAAAAAGAUAUUUCAUAGGCUGUCCCAGGCUAUUUCACCUCUGUCUAAAUGGAUAACACUGAAUAAAAAGUGUUAUAAGGAUUAUGUCAUUUGAAUAGAAUAAAUGCAUCUUAGCCAUUCAUUUAACAUUGGAGUACCUAACGCUGUGCUAAGCACAUGUACUUAUUCUCUGCUAUCAAAAUUAAUGUGUCCCUGGACUGAAGUUUGGGGCUUCGUUUUUAAAUCUGGUCUCCUGAGUGUUCUAAACUGUUUCUGGUGUCCAUUGUGACAUGAGUAAUGGAUCACAUAGCCCAAAUAUAAUAACUUCAGUUCCUAAGAAUUCAUAAUUCUGUGCCCACCUAAUGAUCUGUUUUUAGGAUUCUCUUUAAGACCAAAAGUAUUUUCACUUUUGGUGUUACAUAUAAGUUAACAGGAAUUUUAAAACAUUUAAUGACUGUCAUCUUGAUGGUGAUGCUUAGAGAUCUUUUUAGUUUAAGAGUAUACAAUGAUUUCAACCAAUAGUGUUGGGAACAGUUGGCCAUCCACAUACAAAAAAAGAAAAAAAAAUCCAUAACAUAAAUGUAACACCUUAUACAAAAAUCAACUCAAAAUGGAUCCUAAAUCUAAAUUUAAAACUACAAAAAUUUAGAAGAAAAAUGCAUUUUACCAUAUGACCUAGGUAUACCACCGCCAGGUAUUUACUCUAGAGAAAUGAUGCUUUUGUCCACACAAAAACCCGUGCAUGAGGUUUUAUGAAUAUAAAAGCUCUAUACGUAAUUACCAAAAACUGGAAAUAGCACAAAUGACCUCCUAUGGGUGAGUGUUCCACAAGACAGUAAUGUGGUCAUGCAGUGCAACACUACUUAGCAGUAAUAUAUGCACUUCAAGGGAUAUAAAAACAAUUGUCACUAUUCUCUAAAACCAAGUGCUCAACUGUCUAGAAAUUUUAUUUUUUAAGUUACUUACCUGAGGGUCCAAAGCAAAACAUUUGGGGGAAUUUUUGCUUGUUUUUAAAAUAGCAUUGCUGAUAACCUCAGAUGUCUUAUGAGCCAAAUAGUAGUCAGCAAACUGUUCACAUGAUAUACUUUUCCUUUUAAUUUCAGAAUCAGAUGGGCGACUCCAAUAUCUCCAGCCCUGGGUUACAGCCAAGCACUCAGCUCUCCAAUCUGGGAAGCACCGAGACUCUAGAAGAGACGCCAUCUGGGUCACAAGAUAAGGUUUGUACAGUUAAAGCCCUAGCUUUGCCCAGGGUACAAAACAAAGAGUAAUAUUUUAUAAGGAUAUCAGUGAGGUACAAAAAAUAUUUGUUGUUUACCUGUCGAGGUGGAUACAUACAGGCAACAACAUGGUAACUCCUGUCAUUUGCCCUGUGUUUCCGUCUGGAUUUUGCAGGAGCCCCCACUCUGGUUAUAGAGCUUUUGCCAUUGCCACUCCCUUCCCUGCUCUUCACCCAGCAGCCAGAGUAAUCCUGAUAAACCAGAAGUUAAAGCACGACAUCACUCUGCUCAAAACCGCCCAGUAGUGUCCCAUCGCCCUCCAUUAAAAGCCAGGGCCUUGUCACUGGUCCAUGGCCUCCUGACCCCUGCCUCAUCUCUUACUUCCUGCCUUGCUUGCUUGGCCCUGGUCUCGUUGGCCCUUCUGCCUUUCCACAAAUGUGCCAGGCUUACUCCUGCCUCAGGACAGGCCUUUGCACUUGUUGCCUUCGCCUGGAGUACUUUCCUCCCAUAUAGGGCUUGCUCCCUUUCUUCCUUCAAAUCUCAAGCAUUCUCCAUACAGGUGAGGCCUUCUCUGGUCACCCUGUUUUAAAGAACCCUUACCCCUGUCCUCCCAUGCCUUAUUUUCUCCCUAAGGCUUCACCAGCUAACCUGGUUUACUGUUUUCUUACUGUGUGCACUAUGUCUCCUCCCCAUCUGAAUGUAAGCUCUUGUGGGGGCAGGCACUUCUGUCUGCCUUGUUUGUUGCCAUAUCCCCUGCACUUAGCAUUGUAAAUAUUUGUUGACUAAAUUAGUUUUCUUUAUAACCAAUGGCUUGAUAAAUGAACAAAUACCAAGUAAAACCCAUAGCUUUUUAAUUAAACUUCUUAUUUUGAGAUAAUUACAGAUUCACAUGCAGUUACAAGAAAUAAUACAGAGGGGCACCUGGGUGGCUCAGUAAGCUAAGCGUCCAAGUCUAAAUCAAGACAUCUCAGGUCAUGAUUUCAUGGUUCGUGAGUUUGAGCCCUGCAUGGGGCUCCGCACUGUCAGAUUGGGGUUCUCUUUCCCUCUCUCUCUGCCUCUACCCCUCCUGCGUGCACACAUGUGCACACGUACGCUCUCUCAAAAUAAACUUUAAAAAAUAAAUAAAUACAGAAAGAUCCCAUUUCUGUAUUUACCCUUUACCCAUUCCCCCACUGAUGACAGCUUGCAAAAUAAAGUACAAUAUCACAACUAGGAUACCGGUAAAAUCUACCCAUCUGGUUCACAUUUCCUCAGUUUUAUUCACAUUCACUUCUGUGUUUAUGUGCACGUCUGUAUUUCUGUGCAAUUUUAUGUCAUAUGUAGCUUUGUAUAUCCAACACCACAGUCAAGAUACCGAAGACUUACAUCAACACAAGGAUCCUUUGUGUUGUGCUUGUAUUCUCACACUGACUCCCCUGUCAUACUUCCUUUCCCUCUCCUCCCAUCCUUAACCCUGGUAGCCACGAAGCCAUCCCCAUUUCUAUAAUGUCAUUUCAAGGAUGUUAUGUAAAUGGAAUGAUACAGAAACCUUUGGGAUUUUCUUUCUUCAUUUAGCAUGAUUUCAUUGAAAUUAUUAGGUUUUUCAGUAGUUCGUUCCUUUUUACUCUUCCACCCAGUCAAGUAGAAGUACCAAAAUAUGUUUAACCAUUUCUGGCAGUUUGCCUGUUCAAGGACAUCUGGGUAGUUUUCAGUUUUUAGCUGUUGCAAAUAAAACUUCUGUGAACAUUUCUGUACAGAUUUUUGUGCAGAAAUUUCCAUUUGUCUCGGAUAAAUGCCCAGGAGUGCAGAUGUUGGGUCAUUUGGUAAUUUCAUGUUUUAGUUUAUUAAGAAACUGCCAUAGUGUUUUCCAGAAAGGCUGUACCAUUUUACAUUCCCAUCAGCAAUAUAUCCAUAAUGUUUUUAGAUAUUUAGAUGAUGAUUUAAGCCAGUUUUUUAAUACUAUAUUCCCAUGCUUCAUUUUUUACUGUGUUUGCAUUUAGAGUCCUGAAGGUCAAACAUAUGUUAAAAACUAUGCUGUAUAAAAUGCAAUUUUUGCAAAACAUGUGUUGAGGGAGAGAAGGAACAGCCUGCCUGUGUUCCUUCUGGUCCGGCUUAUCAGCCCUGGGUGUUCAGUGGAGGCAGUCACUUCCGCUUUGCUUUCUGAAUGAUGGGCUUAAGGGUUCUUGCACUGCCAACUCCCAGAGUUCUUGUCAGAACCAAAUGAAGGAACAGACCCAGGACCCAGAGAACCAUUUAGAGCACAGACCUUAGGAUAAAAGAGGUUUCCUAUUACUGAUCAGUAUUAUAAUUCAAACCAGGCUCAGGAAGUCAAUGCCUGCUUUCUGAAAGGGUAAACAAAGCUUCCCAGAGCCCUGCCCAAUAUCCAGAGUCUGGCCUCGGCACCGCAGCAGAGUACUCUCACGUCUCAAGAGUACAGCAGGUGGCAGGCCACACUCUACUUGGCUGGAUAGGUUUUGCAGUGGGUUGGAGCAGCACUCCAACCACGGCCAGGAGAAGGGCGGGGAGGAAAUGAGAACUACGCAGAGAUUUCCAGGCAAUUGCAAACAAUCAAAAUGCUCUUAAGCUUUGUUUCUUAAGUCCAGUAGCACCUGGUGUCAGCAUUUUUAUUGUACAGAGAAUAGCUCUUCACAUGGCAACAUAAAUUAUAUAAUCAUGAGAUGAAGGUAGCAUUAAUACCAGUAUUGUAUGUGUGUGAAAACUGAGACCCAGGCUAAUUUUUUUUUUAAUUUUAUUUUAAGUAGGCUCCACAUCCAAUGUGGGACAUGAACUCACAACCCCGAGACCAAGAGUCACAUGCCCUAUUGACUGAGCCAGCCAGACACCCUGAGACUCACAUUAAUUUUGUAAAACUCUAGCUGCUCUAGGAUUUGAACAGUUUCUUACUGGGAUAUAAUUAAUACAUAGUAUACAUAUUCAAAUCUAAAGUGUCAACCUUGUAACAUUUUAUAAAUGUAACUUAAACAUUGUAACUACCAAGAUCAAGAGAUAAAAAAUUUCCUUCACCUUAAAAGCAGUAAAAAAUGAGUUCAUUUGCCACAAAUAGGGCAACUGCAAUGAAAAGGAGAAAAAAAAUCUUAAUCAUUAAGUCUAUUUUAUUUUUUUUUAACAUUUAUUUAUUUUUGAGACAGAGAGAGACAGAGCAUGAACGGGGGAGGGUCAGAGAGAGAGCGGGAGGCACAGAAUCUGAAACAGGCUCCAUGCUCUGAGCUGUUAGCACAGAGCCUGACGAGGGCUUGAACUCACGAACCGCGAGAUCAUGACCUGAGCCGAAGUCGGACGCUUAACCGACUGAGUCACCCAGGCGCCCCUUAAUCAUUAAGUUUAAAGACAUUUAUUUUUAUGCAUAGCUUCCAUUGUAUUAUACAUUAGAGACUCUUUGUAAUAAACUUUCAAACCAAGUUAAUAACAGGGGGAGUGAGAAGUGGACCCCAAAGAAUGCCUUAAGAAUCAUAAAACACUGUCCAUUGAAAGAUGAAGGAAGAGUGUGAGGGGCACCUGGGUGGCUCCACCCGUUAAGCGUCCGACUCUUGAUUUCGGCUCAGGUCAUGAUCUCACGGUUCAUGAGUUGAAACCCGGCAUCGGGCUCUGCCCUGACGGCUCAGAGCCUGCGUGGGGCUCGUUCGUUCUCUCUCUCUCUCUCUCUCUCUCUCUCUCUCUUUCUCUCUCUCUUUCUCUCUUUCUCUCUCUCUUUCUCUCUUUCUCUCCCCCCCCUUUUCCUCUCUCUCUCUCUGUCCCUUCCCUGUUCACACACACUCACACACUCUCUUUUUCUCUCAAAAUAAAUAAACUUAAAAAAGAAAGAAAGAAAGGAAAGAUGAAGGGGAGUAUGACGAGCUGUAGCUGCUUAGCCUGUCAGCAAAAGCUCCGGUGUUGGAUCUGUGGGCACACAGAGAAUUGUACCCUCCCGUGAGAAUACUGCUGCCGCUAUUCCCUCCUUCUCACAGUCUUCUGAGAUCCCAGUUUAUAGGUCAAAGUGAUCUGGAUAUUGUCAGAAGCCAUGUGAUUGACUAAAAUUAGCUUAAAUCCAUAAUCAACCCUCCACACAGAUUGUACACGUGUUUAGUAACACUGCCACCUGGUGCUGAGGAGCAAAUGCUGUCAAGUCCUGAUAAUAUUCGGUUCCAUUUCAGUUUCACAAUUCACAAGUCCCUUGGGACUAUUUCCCUGGUAUGUUUUAUAUUGCUUUUGGGUUCCUAAAUAAUACAUAGCUUCUGGUGUGCCCAGUACACUGACCAGGUCAGAAAUCUGACAUGGACACCAUAGGUCCAGACCGAAAUAGGAAAUUCCCUAAGUGACAAGAGCUGUGGGGUGAGGAAGGAAUAGAAAAGCCUAAUUCAGUAUAUUGGAAUUUGGCGGUGCACAUACUCUUCCUCCCAGAAUCCCAUUUCACAGGGAGAAUGGUGAGACUAACCCUUGAUGUAAGGGAGGCAUUGCAAAACAUGGAGUCCAGACUUGAAGCAUAUUCAGACAUGAGGGAAGAAGAAAAUUCCCCUUUUCUGUGGAUGAGGCGAGAUGAAUCCAUGAAUAAGUAAGUCCAAGUACCAGAGCAGGGCAGCCAGUUUUUCUUGUCCUGGGCAGAAGGUGAAGGGUCCUCUCAAAUGCAGAGACCAUAAAGCUUUUGUGUGGAGAAGCAUGCUUCGUUCGCGUGUCUCUUGUGACUCAUUCAGCAGCCGGGUACAUAUUUCCAAAAGUUGGGCACGGUUUGACCUGUAGCCAUCUCUUAGGUGUAUCUCUGUUUUCCGGAAGUCCUUAUCGUUAUCCAGUUGAGUAGGUGUCCUAGACUAUACUUAUUCGACAUCUCAGUACAGGGGCAUAAGUGUCAAGAGCAUGGACUUAGUUAGCACUGGGUUGGAGUCUGGGUCUGUCGUACUCGGGUGUCACCUACAAAGUGGCAGUGCUACUAGCACUGCCCUCACUGAUGAGUGAUGCGUGUCAGGUGUGCAGCACAGGGACCCCCCCCCCCACACACACACACACACACAGUACAUGUCCUGUCUGAGGUCAGUCUUCCUGCUGUCGUAACUUCGUUUAUCUCUUCUUACAGAGAUUCCUCUGAAACCCUAAUGAAUUACCACACGUCCUAUUCCAGACACAGUCUGAGAAUGUUUCUGACCUGGCAGAGGUUGUAGGGAGGCUGCAUGGAGAAAUCUCGAAGCUUUCUGCUACUUUUGCAAUCAGGGUUCAGGGCUCUCCAAUAUGGUUUCUUUUUUUUUUUUUUUUUUUUUUUUUUUCUUUUUUUAAAUUUUUUUUUAAUGUUUAUUUAUUUUUGAGAGAGAGUGCAAGUGGGGGAGGAGCAGAGAGAGAGCAGGCCCCAGGCUCUGAGCUGUCAGCACAGAGCCCGACACAGGGCUCGAACUCAUGAGCAGCAAGAUCAUGAUCUGAGCCUAAGUUGGACACUCCUCCAACUGAGCCACCCAGGUGCCCCAGUUUCAUUUUUUAAUGUGAAGUCAAUUUUAAACUGUUAGAAAUACUUUUUUUUUUUUAAGCAUAAGUGUAAAAACAUUCAAAAUGUACAUGCAGGUAAUUUUAAUUGUUCAUAAGUCCAUUUAUGUUCCACUAGACAGGUAAAAAUUGCUACCUGAAUCAUGCCAUUUUUGAAGCCAAAGGUGUAUUUCAUGUUGAGUUAUCUCUAUGUCAUGUUGUUUAAUUGCUCCUUUUCUUAUAAUGUAAAAUAUUUGUAUUCUUACCUGGGAAAGACUCAAGUUUUUGCAAAGUAGAAUAGCCCCAAUGUGGUCUGUAUUUCUCAAAGUAUGUACAUCCACACGUUGUUUUGUGUGUAUAUACAUACAUAUAAAACAGGAUGUGGUGGUUAAGAUUGACAUAAUUUGUAUUAAUGAAUAAAAACUAGUGUAAGUUUUCUAGUACUUUUUGCCAAGCAGUCUUGACCACUUUGUUCUAAACGUAAUGUGUAUAAAAAGAGAAUUAACCCAACUCAAAAAUGUGCAAAUGACUUGCAUAGUCAUUUUUUCAAAUCUACAAGUGGCCGAUGUGUUGGCAAGAACGUGGAGAAGUUAGAACCAUUUUGCAUCAUUGGUAGAAAUAUAAAAUGGUGCAACAGCUUUGGAAAACAGUUUGGAAGGUCCUCAAUUCUAUUCCUGGGUGUAUACCCAAAAGAAUUGAAAACAAGGAUUAAACAUACUUUACACCAGUGUUUGUAGCAGCAUUAUUCACAAUAGCCAAAAGGUGAAAACAGCCCAAGUAUCAAUGCUUAGAUGAAUGGGUAGACAAGAUGUGGUAUAUGCAUACAAAUGGAGUAUUUGUCAGCGUUUUUAAAAGGAAGGAAAUUCUGACACAUGGUACAGCAUAGAUGAAUUUGGGGGACACUGUGCCAAGAGCGAAAUAAGCCAGUCACAAAAGGCCAAGUAUAUGAUUGCACUUAAACGAGGUACGUAGAGUAGGCAAAUUCAUAGGAACAGAAAGUAGAAUAGAGAUUAUCAGGGGCUGUGAGUGAGGAAGUAGAUAAUGGUGGUAGUUAUACAGCAUUGUGACUGUACUGAAUGCUGCUGAGUUUUACACUUAAAUAUGGCUAAAAUGGUAACUUUGGUUAUGUAUAUUUUGCCAUCACUGUCAGAAAUCGGUGGGGAGGAGUGGAAUUAUGUCUGUGCUCAUCAGUGGACAUUUAUGAUGCCAGAGAUCUAAAAGUGAAUCAAUCCUAGUGCCCAUUUGGGGAAAUGGAACCUAUGCACCCCUGCUACUAGUUAUGUGGCCUGGACAGAGAGGACGAGAAGUGUGUCCCAAAUGGGAAUUUGCUGUCUGUUUUUGAAUUACCUUGAAUGGAUUUGAAAUGAUACCAGUGAGUUUUAAAUAAACAACUAUGUCUUUUUUUUAUAUUUAACGUUUAUUUUUGAGAGAGAGAGAGAGAGACAGAGCACAAGCAGGGAGGGGCAGAGAGAGAAGGAGACACAGAAUCCUAAACAGGCUCCAGGCUCUGAGCUGUUAGCACAGAGCCUGAUUGCAGGGCUUGAACUCAUGAACUGUGAGAUCAUGACCUGAGCCGAAGUCAGACGCUUAACUGACUGAGCCACCCAGGAGCCCCAACAACUGUGUCUUUAAUGAGUCAUUGCAUCAGGGCAUGACAGAUUUAUAAUACUACAGCCUUGAUAGCUCAUCAGGUGGUAGUGUUAUUUUGCAUCACGGGGUAUGAUAUUCCAGAAGGAUUUGAUGAAUUUUUAAUAUUCUAACAUAGUAUUUGAUGUUUCUUAAAACAUGUACAAACGCAGGUUUAUUAUGAUUGCUAGUAAGACUGUCUGGUGUUCAUAUAAUGAUAAUAGCCAACUUCCAUUUAUCGAAUGCUUGUUGGGCACCAGGUAUCAUAUUGAGAAAUUAACUUUCACAUCAGCUCUGUGAGAAGUAAUUGCCAUAAUUGCCCUCAUUUUUCAGAUGAGGUAACUAAAUAGACUAUAAUUUUCCCAGCUAAGCUGGGAAUUAAAUCUGGGUGUGUUUGAUUUCGGAUCCUAAACUCUGCAACUUUUUCAGAAGUAAAAACAUAAGGAAAUUAAACCGUAUACAAUCUUUUGCUUUUUUUUUUUUUUUUUUUUUUUUUUNNNNNNNNNNNNNNNNNNNNNNNNNNNNNNNNNNNNNNNNNNNNNNNNNNNNNNNNNNNNNNNNNNNNNNNNNNNNGGGGGGGGGUGGGGGGGGGGGGGGGGGGGGGGGGGGGGUGGGGCCUGAAUCUUGCCAUUUGAGAAUCCCUUCACUUAAAGCCUUUUGUCCCAUUAACUUGCCAAGAAAUAUUACAUUAAUUCUCUUUACUGGAUAUUUUCUAAGAAGAAAUGAUUCGAUAUGGAAUUACAAUGUUCUUUUUUUUAAUUUUUUUUUUAACGUUUAUUUAUUUUUGAGACAGAGAGAGACACAGCGUGAACGGGGGAGGGGCAGAGAGAGAGGGAAACACAGAAUCGGAAUCUCGAGGACCGCGAGAUCGUGACCUGAGCCGAAGUCGGACGCAUAACCGACUGAGCCACCCAGGCGCCCCAGGAAUUACAAUUUUCUACAACUAGAGGAAGUUUCUGCCUCUUCUCCACAACUGUUCCUUUGCCCCACCUCCGUUCUCUCACCCAGCAGGUGAUAAGACACCCCAGUGGCACUCCCUUUCCAUCCACCCCUCACAAGUGAGCCACCCUGCACACCCCCUGGGUACUGGCCUCCUUUCCCCGUUCCCUCCACAGCAGAGGGAGCCUCAACCCCUCCCCUAAGAACCUGCUGCCAGUAAGUCCCUCUCUUCCCCACCCCACCCAUCUCAGCACAGUGUCCUGGGCACCUGCUAAACCCGAUACAGGUGUCCCCACCGUCCCCUUUUCAAAAGUUCACAUUAAGCCACUUUUGCUUUUAGGAAAGACCCACAUCGGUAACUGUUUUGCCAACCGAAAGAAAUCCAAAGACAGUUUUUGCUUGUGUGAGAAGAGGUAAAAAGUGAAAUAGCAUUGGACAUUUGAGCUACUGAUGCAGCGGGCACCCUGGACAGAGGGCAGCUCUGCCCAGCCCCUUCCCCAGGAACCACACUCAGCACCCCAGCCUCAGGCCGCCACAGCCUUGACCUGGGUCUGUGAGCACCUGUUAGCAAGAUGUGUUCUAAGGUUAUCAGAAAAGCCGAAGAGAGGGGCGCCUGGGCGGCUCAGUUGGUUAAGCGUCCAACUUCAGCUCAGGUCAUGAUCUCAACCAUUUAUGGGUUCGAGCCCCACGGCAGGCUCUGUGCUGACAGCUCAGAGCCUGGAACGUGCUUCAGAUUCUGUGUCUCCCACUCUGAUCCUCCCCUGCUUAUGUUCUGUCUCUCUCUCUCUCUCUCUCUCUCUCUGUCUCUUUCUCUCAAAUAUAAAUAAACAUUAAUUUUGUAAAGAAAAGCUGAAAAUGGGUUAUUUUGGGGACCCAGAGAUACUCAGAAUUUUUCCAUAUGAAUCAAUGGUAAUUGCUUCUUCACUUUCUGCCAUUUUGGCUUAGAAACAUUUCCCAGGAACGCUCCCCCUUCAGAUAGCAGGGAAACCUGUAACUACUUGUCACACGGAUGCAGCAAACACUUGCUUGGGAAAACCAGUGCUUUUUUCCUGUAGAAAUGUGGUCACACCAUAGUGCACUCAUCCUUCUGCUUCAGGGGCAGUGUAGUGUCGGGCCUUUAUCGGCCUUCUGAGGAACUGAAAACCAUGUGUUUCAGCGAACCGUCUUUUUCCACGUGAAUAUAUAUCUGAGCAGCUAAGUAGUGUACACGCUUAUGGAAUAAAACCAUAUGUCGAGGCUGUAUGUGUUUUCAAAGUACUUAGGUUAGUUCCCCACUGGAACACAAGCCCUGUCGGUCAGACUUUUUUUGUUCCUCCCUACUGUGUCCUGGGGGCACAGGUCAGCACAGGUCCUGGCACCCUGCAGGCACUCUGAAGAUAAAGGGCAAAUGAAUAUGACCAUAGCACAUGAAGGGAAGGUGUAGGAAAGCUCAGGAGUGGAAAGCGUAAAUAUUCCCCCUCCACAUCAUUGCAGUGGUAUCAGUAAGCCAGACCACUACAGCAGAUGCAAAGUGAACAUUCUCAGACCUACAUGUCUGCUUCUUCUGAAGGAAUCUGUGAUCUUGUAGUAGAGAGGAGGAACGGCCUGCUAUUUUAAAAAACAGUUCAGUUUAUUUUCUGGUACUUAAGACCUAGUCCUCAAGGUGCAGUGCCUAGCUUUUUAUCAAGAACUAUGAAAAUAAAGAUAGGAUUACUUACUCAGCAUUUGGUCCCUCUGUCCUUUUGAGUAUUAUUUCCUUGCUUGUGUUACUGGUACAGGGCAACCAAGCACUACUUGUAAUAUUUCUUCUUUACGUUAUAUCCCUUUGCCAAGAAAACAAGGUGAAUUCUAACACUAUCCUGGGAGUCCCUAAAACUUGGAUCUUAGUACGAAUGCAGAUUUCUGCCCACCAGUUUGGGGAGACAAGAUGCGUUUUGGCCUUAGUCCCUAACACAUCUUCAGUUCCAUUUCCUUAUUUUCAGACUCCAUCUAUCUUUGCUUCUGCAAAAUGUUUUGGUUAAUGGGAAAGAAGUCUGGUUACACUGGUUUGCAAGAGAUUUCUUUCACUGGGCAGUUUGAUUUGUUUUUCAGUCUGCUCCAUCUGGACACAAACAUCUGACAGUGGAAGAAUUAUUUGGAACCUCUUUGCCAAAAGAACAGCCAAGUGUUGUGGGUCUGGAUUCAGAAGAAGCGGAGAAGCUGCCAGGAGAUGCCUCCCAGAAAGAGCCCAGCUCAUUCCUACCAUUUCCCUUUGAGCAGUCAGGAGGAGCCCCUCAGUCGGACAACCUGGGUGUCCAUCCUGCCUCCCACCACUCAGUCCAACCUGAAGUCCCCACCCCGGUGCUGAUCACUCCCGCCUCCAUCACACAGUCCAGUGAAAAACAGGCCCCCGUCUAUGCCGUCCCGUUGCGCCCUGUGCUCAGCCCGACUCUACCAGCAGAAGCUCCUACGGCACAGGUUCCCCCCAGCUUACCCCGAAACACCACCAUGAUACAGGCGGUGAAGACCACGCCGAGACAGAGGUCUCCACUCCUGAGCCAGCCAGUCCCUGAGCUGAGCCACGCCAAUCUGACUGCCACCCAGAGCCCCUUCAGGGCCCCACUGAGUGUGACAAACACAGCUGGUACCUCGCUCCCAAGUGUUGAUCUUCUCCAGAAACUCAGGUUGACCCCACAGCAUGACCAAAUACAGACGCAGUCACUUGGGAAAAGUGCCAUGACAUCCGGCUUUUGUUCAGCAGCCGGCCAGCUGGCCACACCUGAGAGCUUCAUAGAGCCUCCGCCUAAGACUGCAGCCGCGCGAGCCUCAGCAUCCCUCAGCAACAUGGUGCUUGCUCCCCUUCAGGUACCGGCAGGAGGGUGGGGGGCUCUAACUGGGUAGGAUGGGGCUGCAGAGGCCUUGAUGUUGACAUCCAUGAGACAGUCGCUUCAAAGAGACGACUGUUCCGUACACCCAGGGCCAGAAGACAGGAGGUGGAAAGCCCAGUAAUGAACAGCUAGACCGUUGGUACACGGUGUUGUGACUCAGUUCCACUUUCCCAGAUAUCUCAACUGAUAACAAGCUAAAAAACAAUAUCGGUAUUUUCCUGUCAGGGCAUGCGUUGUAGGGGGUUUUGUUUGUUUCUGCCUGACAAUUCCAGGAGUCUGCAUUUGACUCAGGACCAUAGAUCCAGAUUAUCCCCAGCGUUGUCCCAUCCCCAACUCCCUUGGUACUCACUGAGUGCCCACCUCGGGCCAUAAUCACAUCCCAGAUUUGGAGAUACGGGAUCAAGUAAAACUUCCCAAUGAAGCUCAUAUUCAGCUGAGAUCUGAAGAUUCAGUAGGAGUUAGUCAGCUCUUUCCUAGACGUAGAGAAAGUGUUUGAGGUCAGGAAAAUAGUGUGUGCAGAGGCCUGGAGAUGAGAGGCAUUUGCUGAACUUAAAGACCUGUAGUGUGGCCAGGCCUCCUCUGGGAGGACCUUGGGGGCGUAGGUACUGGCUGAGGAGCAGGACUUUGUAAACUCUGUGAAGCAGUCCGAGGCUUGUUCUCACAGCCCCAGGGGGCCUUUCUAGGGCUUUAAGGGGAGGUGGUGAGCUGGGAAAGGAGAAGCUGGAAGUAGGGCCACCCGAAGGAGGCCAGACAGUUACCCAGGCUUGGACUGGUGCGGCCUGACUUCGAGAGUGUGGACCAGCAGGUUUGUUAACAGGUGUGGGCAGUGGGGCCUGGUGGUCGAUUGGGGGUGGGGCGUGAAGAAGAGGCUUGCCACUCAGAGAGGGAUGAGGCUGGUGAGUGUGCAGACGAGAGUCAGCUCCAACUGCGGUGAUGCGUACAAGAUCACACAGCUUCUCGAGAGGGGCAGAGUCUUCUGCUUGAGAGCAGUGUUGCUUGCCUCCCAAAACUUCAGUCCUGUGCCCUUUGAUAAGAAUCCAUAGUCUUAACAUCAUACCGAAUAGUAUUAUACAGACGAGCCCAUCAUAAUAAUCAUGUGUGAUUUCUUAGUUAGUGGACUGUUCUGUUCCAGUCCUUUAAAAUCUUGCACAGAAAGAAAGGGAGUUCAGUAUCUUGGUUAUAUUGUUCAAUUUUCAUUUUGGGCCGUUUCUGUUGAGGUUCUCUGUAGUAUAAGCAGAGAGAAUGUUAUAACAGAUUGGUGUCACCCCCUGACACACCCGUGCCACCACUGUUCUGCCCCCUCCAUGUUUUGGCCUUGGGGACAGCUCCCAGCUCUCCAGUGAGCCUCCUCACAGGGGACACUUACAUACGUGUAUAUUUCCAUUUCCAUUUCAUUUAAGGCCUGGGGCUUCACUGAAUUCUAAUGCAUUUGCUCUACAGCAAGAAGUUCUUUGUCUCCCAGUGAAGGAGGACAAAAUGUAGCAAGCACAUGGAAGGAAGGUGACUCUGCAUGAGGACUGUUUAGUGCCGCCCUGUCCAGAGUCCACACGGCCUUAGCAAGGUCUCCUGCUGCCAGAAUAUGGCGUCUCUACAGACUCAACAGCAAAAAUGUGCUUGGGCUGUCCCCAGCUCUUAGAUACAGGUUUCUGCUUUCCUUAGAGACCUCUUGACGGCUCUGCACACAGCCCCUCUCUUAGGGAACCUGAGCGGUUCAGAGGCUGUCCCAGAGCCCUGGCCUCACAGAUGACACAUUGGUUACGUUGUUAAAUGUUGCUGUCAGCCUCUUCCCUCAGGAAUCUAGGAGCUAGUUAAUGUCUGAACUAUUCCUUAUUGCUAAUGUGGGUUUAUCCCCGGUCGCUGGGAAAUCUUCAUGGAAACUUGUUAGGUCUGUUCAUCUUUUCUUUUUAAACAUUGCAGUCUAUGCAGCAAAACCAGGAUCCUGAAGUCUUUGUCCAGCCUAAGGUGUUACCCAGUGCCAUCCCGGUAAGGACCCCCUUUCUCUGAAGAACACAUUAUAUUUAAGUUCUUCUGCUGUGUGUGCCAUAGAACGUUGUACCUUUCAAGCCUAGAGCCCUCUUAGAUGCCCCUCCUAGGCCAGGCUCCCCCGCCGCCCCAGCCGAGUUCAUCACCACGGCCCCUGUGGGCUUCCAGUCACCCAGUCACCCUGGGCCUCCAGUCACCAUCUCUGUACUGAUGUCUUCCCUGACCGUACGCAGGGCAGGAUCAGCCACCGGCUGGGCUGGGCGCUCUGUGUGUGUCAGCUGAGUGCACGUCAGCCUGGUUUCCAUGAGGAGGAGGUGCUCUUUGCCCCGGAAGAGCUAUGAUGCCCUGGUUACGAGUCGCUGUUGUGCUCUGGGCGCUCAUUGCUUCCCGCAGCUAUAACGACAGCGCCUCCCGGGCCUGUGCACUCUGUCCUCUGCUUGUUCUCUCCUGCUUCACUUUUUAAAUGUUUUCCCCACCCUCCAUUACCUACCAACCUCAAAGUGCACACUUAUUUUUUUCAGUUCCUAAACUUCUAUGUUCCCAUUUGCCUUUGAGCCUUUGCAACCUCCUCAAGUCUUAGAACUUCAACUGCAGCCAGCUCCUGACUGGUGGUAUGAACUGGUCUUCCCUAUAUCUCAUCCUGCUGCGUGGGGAUCAGCAGGGGCGCUCAGCCUGGCGUGGCACCAAACUGUGGCAGUUUAUGAAUGGGAGGGGUGACAGAAGAAAGGAAUGUGGAUGUCUGCUGAUUGUAUCAAAUGUGGGAAUUAUUAAAAAUGCUGAUUAUUACUGGCUUAGUGUAUUCUGAUGGUUAGCCAUCAUUAGCAUAGAAGCACAUCUAAAUGGGGGUAGAUGUUCAUUUUAUUUGUAAGAGGUUGUGUCUUUGUUUUUUAAUUUUUUUAAGGUUUUUAUUUAUUUUUGAGAGAGAGCAAGACAGACUGUGAGCAGGGGAGGGGCAGAGAGAGAGGGAGACACAGAAUCUGAAACAGGAUCCAGGCUCUGAGCUAUCAGCACAGAGCCUGACGCGGGGCUCAAACCCACGAACUGUGAGAUCAUGACCUGAGCUGAAGUUGGAUGCUUAACCAACUGAGCCACCCAAGUGCCCCAAGAGGUUGUAUCUUUGAUACCUGUAGUGGUAUAAUAAAUGUAUUAAACACUACAGAAGAAACUAAUGCUUCAUAUAACUGGAUUUUUUUAUUCCCCCCCAUUUUUUUUUGAAGUAAAAUACAGAUAAAGUGCAGGUGUUUUAUGAGUUUUAACACACAUAUAUUCCUUGGGUGACCACCCAGUCAAGACAUGUAACAUUUCCAUCACCCCAGAAAGUUCCCUCUUGCCCUCUUCCAAUCAUUCCUGUGCUCCCCAUAUAAAACUUUACAUUUUUAAUUACCAUAGGAUUGUUCUUACUGUUCAUAUCUGGCUGUGGUCCUAUUUCCUUUCUAUGAUGAUCAGACUUGGCAUCCCAAUAAACAGGCCCUUCGUCAUUUAACAAGCUUUGUUCAUGACCAUUGCUCCCCUGCAGGUCGCAGGCCCCACGCUGGUCACUGCAACAACCAUGGCAGUGUCCUCAGUCCUGCUGUCCCCAAGUGUUUUCCAGCAGACAGUUACAAGGUCCGCAGACCUUGAGAGGAAAACAGGCGCCCCCUCUCCCCUGACUGUUGGAACAUCAGAAAAUCAGAGAAAGCCUUCCAUUAUUCUCAGCAAGUCUCAGCUCCAGGAUACAUUAAUACAUCUAAUAAAGGUAUGUAGGACAUCAAUGGAGUCUUUAAACUUUCAUUCUUUAAUUAAAAAAAAAUAUGUAAGUUCUUCUUAGAAAAUCCGUUCAUAAAGUAAAUUCAAGCCUAGCCAGGAGUAAUGUUUCUCUCUUUCUGAACAUACACUCCUAAUGGAAAAGUGACUGAGUGAAUUCCAAAGUAUGGUUUGCACUUGUCUCUGGGUGGUGAGAUUCUUUGGGUGAUUAGUUCUACAAAGCAUUAUACAGGUUUUUUCCUAAACUUUUGUCAAGGAAGUAAGUUCUACUGAGGUAAAUGAAACAUUACCAUCUCUUCCAGAAUGAUUCCAGCUUCCUCAGUACACUUCACGAAGUCUACUUGCAGGUUCUGACCAAGAACAAAGACAACCACAACUUAUGACUGGAGCAGAAUAAAUCCGAAGGCAGAAUGUCGACCUCAGAAACAAAUAGGCCUCGUCAUGGAAACUUCUAAACAGAACUUUAAGUUGUGAGAAUCCUGAAAUUGAGCCUAUGAGAAAGAGACUCAUUCCUUAAGAAUGUUUUCCAAGUGACGUUCUCAGUGAUAAUGGAGGUUUCACUGUGAAGCAUCACCAGCAGACCUUUGUUUUGAC
rnacentral:lncRNA from 1 species